AUGCUGUUUAUGUUGUUUUUUAUGAUUAAAAAGAAGUACAAGACAUUGCCAAAAAUUAGGAAUGGAAAGUUACAAAUGGAAUUACAAGUUCUUGAAUUGUUAACCAUUGAUCAGAAUUCGACCGUUAGCUCAAAGUUUCGACAACCUAUUCCACUUCAGCUCCAAUCUGAUCUUUAUCACUGCCUCAUGUCGUGUUAA